UACAAGAAAAACAUAGAAAACAACCGAACAUAAAGUUAAUUAGAGAUGACUAUGACCUUAUCACCAAAGAACAAUUUUACUUUUCAUUAAGAACAAUAUUUAUAUAUAAGAAAAGAAACUCCAAAGACAACCAUGAUCUUAGGGCAGCUUCAACAAUUAUUUUUUAAGUUAGCUUUAAGCAUUUUUUCAUAUUUUAAUAGAAAAGAGAGAAAAACUAGUUGUUGAUUAAGCCUGGAUGAAAAACUCAAAGCUCGUUAACUCGCUUAGCUCGUGGUUGGCUCGGCUCAGCUUGCUAUGAUAACAAGUC
rnacentral:lncRNA from 1 species